rnacentral:sRNA from 1 species
AUUGAAGCAGAACAGACGACAUUUUGGAAAGAGGAAAGGGAAGGGUGUUUUUAUCCAAUUAGGCUUGGUAGUUUAAAUGGUGUCCGUCUAAGAAAAGAAAUAUGAAUCAAACUCGGAACUCAUGCAUAGUCAGAAAGAAGCUUUACCACUGAGCCGAUAGCAUACGCAAGGUCCAUAUAUCACUGACCACCACACAUGUAUUCCAACAAUACAGAAGAGGAAGAGUGAGCUACACCAGGCUUGAACUCGGGAACCUUCAGUUUAAAAACCAACGCUCUACCGACUGAGCUAAAGGGUUACCCCACUAGCUACAGUCCCUGAAACGUUCUACUUUCCCACUUGAAUGGUGGGUGCACUCUAAGCGUACGCUGAGCGAACGGUGAGCGCACGCUGAACGGAAUUUGGUGAACGCUAAUGAACGGUGAAUGAUGUGCGAACUCAGAACGCAAACGGAGCGCAAAGUGAACGGUGAACGCACGGUGAACGAUAUGUGAACGCUUUAUGAACGCAAGAUGAACGGUUUAUUCGGAGUGUCUUGGGAGUUAUCCUUACAUUGUAUUUAGUUGGUAAUCAGGAUAAAAUAACAAAUAAACUACAUGUACAGUG